GAGCACGUAGGUGGGUUUGUAAGUCAGAUGUGAAAGCCUUCUGUUCAACGGAAGAAUUGCAUCUGAAACUGCGAGUCUUGAGUGUAGGAGGGGAGAAUGGAACUUCUGGUGAAGCGGUGAAAUGCGUAGAUAUCAGAAGGAACGCCGGCGGCGAAAGCGAUUCUCUGGCCUAUUACUGACACUCUGUGUGCGAAAGCUAGGGGAGCAAACGGGAUUAGAUACCCCGGUAGUCCUAGCCGUAAACGAUGGGCACUAAGUAGAGGGGUUUU
rnacentral:rRNA from 1 species